GCUUAACACAUGCAAGUCGAGCGAGAAUCGUUUUGCUGAAGGCUUCGGUCUGACGCAGAAUGAGGAAAGCGGCGAACGGGUGAGUAACGCGUGGGCAACCUGGCCUUAAGAAAAGGAUAGCCCCCGGAAACGGGGAGUAAUACUUUAUGAGAAUAGAAAAGGGCAUCCUAUUUCUAUUCAAAGCGCAAGCGCUUAAGGAUGGGCCCGCGUAUCAUUAGCUAGUUGGUGGGAUAACAGCCCACCAAGGCAACGAUGAUUAGCCGGUCUGAGAGGGCGAACGGCCACAUUGGAACUGAGAGACGGUCCAAACUCCUACGGGAGGCAGCAGUGGGGAAUAUUGCGCAAUGGAGAAGAACUCUGACGCAGCAAUACCGCGUGAGCGAAGAAGGUCUUCGGAUCGUAAAGCUCUGUUAUCAGGGAAGAAGAAAAUGACGGUACCUGAUGAGCAAGUCCCGGCUAACUACGUGCCAGCCGCCGCAGUAG
rnacentral:rRNA from 1 species